AUACGUAGGGGGCGAGCGUUGUCCGGAAUGAUUGGGCGUAAAGGGCGCGUAGGCGGCCCGGUAAGUCUGGGGUGAAAGUCCUGUUUUUAAGAUGGGAAUUGCUUUGGAUACUGUCGGGCUUGAGUGCAGGAGAGGUAAGUGGAAUUCCCAGUGUAGCGGUGAAAUGCGUAGAGAUUGGGAGGAACACCAGUGGCGAAGGCGACUUACUGGACUGUAACUGACGCUGAGGCGCGAAAGUGUGGGGAGCAAACAGGAUUAGAUACCCUGGUAGUCCACACUGUAAACGAUGAAUGCUAGGUGUAGGGGGUAUCGACCCCUUCUGUGCCGCAGUCAACACAAUAAGCAUUCCGCCUGGGGAGUACGGCCGCAAGGUUGAAACUCAAAUGAAUUGACGGGG
rnacentral:rRNA from 1 species